AUACUAUGAGUGAAGUUUCUUCUGUUUCUAAAAGUUAAAUUAAUUAAUUAAAUUUAAAUCGGAGGAGCAGUUUUGUGAGUUCUCAUAUCGAAAUUAUUCAAUAAGAGGCUGGUUGACUCAAAUAGAACUUAUUAGAAAUAGAAAUAAAAAAUAAAAAUGAAGAAACAUUUUUAUUGUUUGUUAUUGUUGGGUUUGAUUCGGACCACAAGUCACAGGUGAUGACCGGCGCUUUUUGGAGUGUCCUUUCCUUUUUGCUUGGUUGUCCGUGCUCGCGAGUGGAGGUUCGGGUGUGCGUGGUGUCCUAGUGUCCCGAUUCCAAGGGGUCUGAACCGUGCCGAUUCCCAAAUAAACGGGCAGGGCACGCAUCGUCAUCCUCAGCGAAAAUAAGGGAAUUCAGAAAUAAAUCCGAAAGCCCCGUAAUUUUGCGGACCCACUGCCACGUGCUACGCUUAGACCCACACUUAAUCGAGAUUUUGGUUGGGCAGUGCUCGGUGGCGAGCUCUGCGCUGUGUCCUGCUUUAGCGGCUGUCGCCGGAUUUUUUCCUCCGUUGAAGGUGACGAUGGUGCCUGAGAGUCGUUCCCCGACCAUGACUGGCCGAUAUGUACACUACCGAGGCCGUCCACCGCGGUCCUGGGCUACCCUACUUCAUAGGAGGUGUUUGGCACCGGCUGUCCCGCAGUGCCAGACGCUUGCUGCGCCCGACGGGUGCGGAGGGGGUUGAGCCGAGUGGUGGUGACUAGCGCGCUAAUCCCGUAUUCUUAAGUAUUUUUAAUCCAUACCAACCAAACGGCCCAACGACCCAU